AAAAGUGCUUGUAGUGCAGGUAGUGGUAUUGAAACCUACUGCAGAACAAUCACUUUCAGC
rnacentral:pre_miRNA from 1 species